GGAAGAUGAACAAGUGGACAAGUGUCUCACACACUGAAACUUCAGGCUUAGAUCCGCAGCAGCAGCUCAGCAGUUUGAUACUUUUCAUCUGAAAAUGUUCUGUUUCAUGACCUUCUGUGAAGUUGUGUUCCUGCACACGGUUCUGAUUCAUUGCAGUGGAAACUACACAGUGAUCCAGUUUUCAGUCCCGAAGGAUCACCACAUCUGUCUGCAGUGUGGUGGAUCUGACAGCUCUGAUGUAAUCUGGACUCAUCAGGACCGGAAGGUUCUGGUGUCCCGACAGGGCCGCUACGAGACCAACAAGGACCACCAACGCUACCAGCUGGUUUCUGACGGUGGCCUCUGCCUCCUGCGGCUCGACGACUCUGACGGCGGGAAGUUUGAAUGUAACCAGCAGCUGGUGGCCGAGCUGCAGCUGCUAACAGGCCAGGACUUCAGGGUGUCUGCAGGUCGUACGCUGCUUCUUCCCUGCAGCAAUUCCUCCAAAGUAAAAAAGAAGUGGUUCCACCGGAGGGGAGGAGGGAGGUGGGAGGCCAUCCUCACCCAGUUCAGAAACGGUACAGUGAAACCAAAGAGGAGCCGGCUCAGCCUCGGGAACGAUGCCCUGCAGAUCCAAGACCUGCAGCCAGAGGACACUGGAGAGUAUCUGUGUAACGGAGUUCCGCAGGCCAGACUCACCAUCCUGACAGUGCAGCCAGAGACGACCAGCUUCCACCCAACCACCAGUACAACUGCAACAGCUGCCGUCAUGGACACAGAUGAAGUGGACAUAAAGAAGAGACCUGAGAAUGUCCUGCUGAUGCUUGCUGUUGUCGGCUUUGGGUUGAUGAUCCUCCUCAUGGCCGUCGUCUGUGUUUUACUGACCAUCAUGAAGUGCAGGAGGAAUAAGAAACACAGAUGUGCAGCACAGAUGCAGGAAGACACGGAGCUGCAGCCGUGGAAGAAGUCCAACACACAAACUGAGUGUGAGGUUUACGAGAGUCCGUCUCUGGCGGAGGAGACUAUCCAUUAUGCCUCUCUGGGCCGCCAGAACUGGAGGGAGAGACCCAGCAGGACUCCACCGGACCAGAGCGACCACAACGUCAUCUACUCUUCUGUCAUCACCGGACCGGCUGCCAAACAGAAACGACCUCUGCUGCAUCCUGCCCUCUAA
rnacentral:lncRNA from 1 species